CCGGUUUGUGAGAGCUUACACUCCCAGCCUGCGGCGUGCUGGAAGCCAGCAAACACGGAGGCCCCGCUCAGAUGCCUCUCCCGGGAGGGCGGGAAUUAAUCAGGGAAUGUUUACUGCACGCCCGGGAGGGAGGCUGCACGGAGACUGUGCCCAGGGAAUCGUGUCGGCCUGGGGGGCCUCACCGUCCAUAGGAGGGCCGUCCGCCGCAGGAACCCUCCUCCUGGUUCUCUCCCGGAUGUCAGGCUCACCACGCAGCAAGUGAAACCGGUUUCUGUGGGGCUGAACCGCUUUCCCUGGGCCUGCGCGGGCAGCCGCCUCUGGAUCGCAUUAAGCUGCAUAAAUAACAAGGCUGUUGUCAGAUUCCCCCUGGUCGAGGCCUCUGUCCUUGGAGUCAGCGCAUCCUUGGAGCCCAGGCCAGUGACCCGCGUAGUAGGGGCUCAAUAAUAAUGGACUAGCUGGUGGAAGGAGACGGAGCAGGCAGCAGUGUGAAGUUCAAAGGCUCGGCUCACACCUGAUUCUCCCAGGGAGGGCUGCCCCCAGGACCGAACCCCCCUGCUUAUAUGAGGGGGGCGACCACCAUGCGCCAUGCUCUGCAGAACUGCAGCCUGGAUGGGGGGCUUCAAAGCACGCCUGCCGAUAGAUCAAGCGUCCUUUCCAACAGGAUAGCCCCCUCCUUGCUCACC
rnacentral:lncRNA from 1 species